UUCGCUUCUCAGCCUUUUGGCUAAGAUCAAGUGUAGUAUCUGUUCUUAGGGGUUCUUUUUUGUCUACAGUGCUGUCAACAUACAUUACUAUUUGUUGUCUAAAGGCUUGCCAUUCUGACUUGGCUGAGCUGGACUCUUGAUGUAGUUUGGAUUUGUAUUUCUCUAAUGCCUGGUGGAGUUGAGCAUCU